rnacentral:rRNA from 1 species
UCUACCCUUAAGUUGGGGAUAACUAGUCGAAAGAUUAGCUAAUACCGAAUAAUAANAUCAAUAUCGCAUGAGAAGAUGUAGAAAGUCGCUCUUUGUGCGACGCUUUUGGAUGAGGGUGCGACGUAUCAGAUAGUUGGUGAGGUAAUGGCUCACCAAGUCAAUGACGCGUAGCUGUACUGAGAGGUAGAACAGCCACAAUGGGACUGAGACACGGCCCAUACUCCUACGGGAGGCAGCAGGG